UGGCCCUUGUGGCUAAAGGGAUCAGGGAGUAUGGAGAGAAGGCAGGUACAGGAUACCGAGUUGGAUGAUCAGCCAUGAUCAUAUCAAAUGGCGGUGCAGGCUCGAAGGGCCGAAUAGCCUACUCCUGCACCUAUUUUCUAUGUUUCUAAAUGGUGGCUUUACCAAGCCACACCCACGUCCCGGGAAAAAAUGAAUUACAAAAGAUUCUUAUCAAUUAAAUGGUUUUGAGAUGACAGAAACUGGGACUAUACUACAACAUUUCACAGAUGUAUCAAAAAGUUAAAUAGUAAAUCUCCAUCCCCACUGGUGGAAGAUGCUUCACAGGGUGGAAUCCAUUUAAUACUACUUCCAGAAGACGGAGGAAAGGGGGGCGUUUGAUUUCACAGAUCAAAUAAGAAGUUUGGAUCUAUAAUAGCUUUUCAAGGAAUCGCAUCGACUUGCAGGUCGGCACCCGGACAUUGAUACUACUGGAGUUUCUUCCAGACCAGCCAAAGCUCUGGGGCGCGCCCAUCGCCGCGGGAAUUCUCGCCUCAUCUUCAGCCUCGCCCUCCCUCCCACCUUGGUCCACAUAAGAUGUUUUUUGUGUUUGCAGUCAGUGGUGAAAUUCAGUAAAGCACGGGGAGGAGUGGAGGCAGCAGGGGCUGUAGCAACGUGGGCUUUGUGUGUGGGCGGGAGAUGAGAUAGAGAGAGAGAGAUAGACCACGGCGAGCAAAACCCAACAGCGGAAGACCAGGAAAGAACACACAAUCCCUCCAACACUUUUCAAUGCGAAGUGCUGAACUUUGGCCAGGUUUAGCCUUAAGCAGUAGAAAACUCUUCUGUCUCGAUGGAUUCCACCUUAACAGCACCAGGAUGGCUAUCACUAGCAGAAGCAAGGCAGGAGAUGCCAAUGCAAGCCAAUAACAACACUGGACACUGGAACCUGGAGUUAAUCAAAUAAGUGCUGACAGAGGUGGAAGACUCCACUGUCAAGCUUGCACAUGACACAACGCCUACAGACAGGAAGUGACACAGCUGGCGUCCUGGUGCCUUCGCAACAACCUGGAGAUCAAUGCUCUUAAGACAGUGGAAUUGAUUGUAGUCUUUAGGAGAGCUCCCGCUCUCUUCCCCCCACUCACCGUCAACAACACCAUAGUCCUUGGAACCAUCAUCUGCAGGGACCUUAAAUGGGAGAUCACCGACUCCACAGUCAAAAAGUCCCAACAGAGGAUGUACUUCCUGCGGCAGGUGAGAAAACACAAUCUGCCACAGGCAAUGAUGGUCCAGUUUUAUACUGUCAUCGUAGAGUCUGUCCUCACCUUCUCCAUCAUGGUCUGGUUU